CCUACGGGGUGCUGCAGUGAGGAAUAUUGGUCAAUGGACGCAAGUCUGAACCAGCCAUGCCGCGUGCAGGAAGACGGCUCUAUGAGUUGUAAACUGCUUUUGUACGAGGGUAAACGCAGAUACGCGUAUCUGUCUGAAAGUAUCGUACGAAUAAGGAUCGGCUAACUCCGUGCCAGCAGCCGCGGUAAUACGGAGGAUUCAAGCGUUAUCCGGAUUUAUUGGGUUUAAAGGGUGCGUAGGCGGGAUGCCAAGUCAGCGGUAAAAAUGCGGUGCUCAACGCCGUCGAGCCGUUGAAACUGGCGUUCUUGAGUGGGCGAGAAGUAUGCGGAAUGCGUGGUGUAGCGGUGAAAUGCAUAGAUAUCACGCAGAACUCCGAUUGCGAAGGCAGCAUACCGGCGCCCUACUGACGCUGAGGCACGAAAGCGUGGGUAUCGAACAGGAUUAGAUACCCCUGUAGUC
rnacentral:rRNA from 1 species